rnacentral:rRNA from 1 species
UACAGAGGUCCCAAGCGUUGUUCGGAUUCACUGGGCGUAAAGGGUGCGUAGGUGGUGAGGUAAGUCGGAUGUGAAAGCUCGGAGCUCAACUCCGAAAUGGCAUUGGAAACUACCUCGCUAGAGGAUCGGAGGGGAGACUGGAAUUCCUGGUGUAGCGGUGGAAUGCGCAGAUAUCAGGAGGAACACCGAUGGCGAAGGCAGAUCUCUGGGCCGUAACUGACGCUGAGGAGCGAAAGCAUGGGGAGCGAACAGG